ACAAUUUUGAAAAGAUGCGUCGGCACAGGAACCAAGUGCGCGCCGAUCACUUCGUGCUCCACGUGCAAGGGAGGCACCGUCUUUCCAGAAGAAGCGGAAGAGGGCGGGGGCGUUUGACUGGUGUGUUGCUCGCGAACGGCCUCGCGGCACGCGCGGAAACUCCAUUCGAGUCCAUCGGUCUCCGGCGGGGAGAUCGAGGAAGACGAGUGGAGGGGAGACGAAGCAGAAGAAAACUCGAACGCUUGGAGGGAAGCCGGCGAAGCCGCCGACCCCGUGAGCGCCUCAACGGAGACAGGAAGGACAUCUGGAGCGGAGGCGUAGGGCCUGAAAGGAGACAGGGCGCACGAGUCCACAAAAAAGACAGCCCUUCUCGGCCGCAUUCAAAAUGCUCGUAGCCAAGACGGCGAAAGGCCCUAUGUUCCAACCUGCUGCAUUUUCCCCUACUCGACUGCGUCGGGACAAAAACGCAUCUGCCUCGACUUUUCUGCGUGUGUUUGCAGUCGCCUGAGCCUCACAGAAAUACAU
rnacentral:lncRNA from 1 species